CCACUGGUGAUGAGUCCCAAAAUAGGACGAAACGGCCGUCCAGUGC
rnacentral:hammerhead_ribozyme from 1 species